rnacentral:rRNA from 1 species
GACGAACGCUGGCGGCGUGCUUAACACAUGCAAGUCGAACGGAAAGGCCCUGCUUUUGUGGGGUGCUCGAGUGGCGAACGGGUGGGUAACACGUGAGUAACCUGCCCUUGACUUUGGGAUAACUUCAGGAAACUGGGGCUAAUACCGGAUAGGAGCUCCUGCUGCAUGGUGGGGGUUGGAAAGUUUCGGCGGUUGGGGAUGGACUCGCGGCUUAUCAGCUUGUUGGUGGGGUAGUGGCUUACCAAGGCUUUGACGGGUAGCCGGCCUGAGAGGGUGACCGGCCACAUUGGGACUGAGAUACGGCCCAGACUCCUACGGGAGGCAGCAGUGGGGAAUAUUGCACAAUGGGCGGAAGCCUGAGGCAGCAACGCCGCGUGCGGGAUGACGGCCUUCGGGUUGUAAACCGCUUUCGCCGGUGACGAAGCGUGAGUGACGGUAAUGGGUAAAGAAGCACCGGCUAACUACGUG